CCAUUUUUUUUUUCCAGAGCUGAGGACCGAACCCAGGGCCUUGUGUGCACUGGGUGGGCACCCUUCCGUUGGGCUAAACCCCCAGCCCCAUGCCCUGUUCUCCCUCA